rnacentral:lncRNA from 1 species
GAAAAGGUCUUGGUUCUACAUCAGAAGAUUGGUAACACUGAAAGCUUCACGGCAACUGAUGGAUGAUAUAAAUGUAGGACUGAGUCAUGGUACCCAGGCAGUGGGCCCUGGAGGGCACAAAUUACCUACCGAUCAAUCUGCUGCUCAAAAACGUGUAGAGGAGUUAAAGUCACUUAUCAGUAGGAAAACUUUAAUUAGGGGAUAAUGGAUAACUCUCCAUUAAAGUUGAAACAGUUCUAACUUACAUUUUCCAGAAAACCAUGGGGCAAAGGGUAAAGCAGGAGCUAUGAUUAUACACAAAAUCCAAGCACAGAUUCUCAGGAGCUGCUGGGAGCAGUGCAGGUGGAAUUCCAAAUUUUGACUUUUCAUUAUUGGCAAAAGAAAGGGCCUCUGAAAUUGAAGAGAUAUAAAUUGUUUGUUUUUACAAGAUAAGUACUCUUCACAAAAAUCAGCGUAGACAGAUUCUGAAUUAUUCUAAAAUUGAUUUUUUUCCUGUGAAUAUACACAUUCUGUGAAGAAACACUUGAAGAAAAUAGACAUCUAAAAAUCCUAUGCUUUAUCAAUGUUUUUAAAAUUAUGGGUUUUGACUCUUGGUGGGUCAUGAAAUAAAGUUACUGAGUUCUGGAAAAGGAUUUGAAACAUAAAGUGAAGUAGAAUAAAACAACAGAAAAUAUCAGUGUGCAUUGUAUGUUGUUUAAGGUAUUUCAUGAAAAUUUGUCUCAUUAUAUGUGUGUAUAUGUGUGGCAUGUGUGUAUAUGUGAGAUAAAAUUUCUAACUGUGAUGUACAAUUUCUCUUACCUUAUAUUUCUGGUCAAAACUUUGAAGGCCUUUGGUCUAAUGUAAUGCUUCUUCAUGUUUUAGUUAUGAACAAUAUAAAGAAGUAAUAUAAAGCCAGGUUUUCACAACAUACUGCAUCUUCUUUGUUUCAAGCUACAGAUCCUGGGAUUAUAAAAAGUCUGAAAGAUAAUUUUGGAGUUUCAUUUCAGAAAAAAAGGAAGACACAUAUAUAUGUAUAUGUAGGUUACACAUAAUCAUUAAAAAUCAUUGACAUUAAAGGAAAUUUUCCUUUCAAUUUAGCGGGUGUGAAAUUCUCAGUUGGCUAUUUACUAAAUCUCAGAGAAGAGAAAAAUGUUGCCUGAGCUUGACAACACUGGAAAAAUUCUGAACUACAAGAGAAUAAUUAAGAAUACCGUGUAGUAAAAGCCCCCAGACAAAGUGAAGGUUCCAAUGAUUUACAGAAAGAGGAUUAUUUAACAAUGAUAUUUAACGAUUCCUACUUAUUGCAAUAUAUACUUAGUGUCAGGGAUGAAAUCUUUCUGGUCAUGACAGAAAUAGACAAAUUAAACAAUGGAGGAGACAGGGAAAAGGAAGUAUGAUAUCAACUCAAAUCUUCUCAUCAUGCAGAAGCCACAGUUGUACUUCGUUCUAUUGAAUUGGUGGUCAACUAUGUUAUAAUGUAUAAAACAUGCACAUGCUUCAAAAACAUGUUUCUAGAGCUGUGUUCCUUCUUCAGCUGUGUUCCUUCUUUGAAACACCUUCCGAAUAUUGGUUAUAUUAAGUGAAGGAAUAGUUACAUAUUUUAAAUUAAAGAAAUAUAUAUAGUUUUAGAUGUAUCAUUUUAUGAUACUCUGCUUUAACUGACGUUCCACUUGUGGGAACAAUACUGGUCUUGAUGGUUUGCAUAAGAAGGCUUCUACUGUUGCUAUCACCAUCUAUUGCCAGUGUUUGUUUUUCUGUCUUUCAUGCCAGGACCUAGUUUGGAUUCAGACCUCCUGGGUGAGACCCUAGCUUGUCUACCACCACUAGAGAGGCUCUGGAUAUGCAAUUCAGUCUCUCUGAACUUGAGUUCUCCCAUUGGAAGAAUGAGGCUGGGAUAUUACUUGAUUUUAUUAGAUUGAAGCUCAGAUAAUGUAUGUGAAGCCCUAAGUGUAGGGUCAGGUGGACAGUAAAUAUUCAACAAUGAUAGUUUUCUCUACUCUGAUGUCUUCAAUUUACUAUAAUAUGAUUGCUAUUGUCUUUUAUAAUUUCAAAACAGUUUUCCAGGAUAAAUUUUAGAUUGCCUGCCAUGGCAAUCAUUUCCAUUGCUCCCCAAAUCUUUAGGAGUUUUCUCAGAAUAGCAACAGUUAAAAUGCUAAUGACAGCUUAUAUUUUGAUGGCAUUUGAUAACUUAACUUUGAUGUACGUGGUAUAAUGGGCUUCAUUUUCUGGGUUUCAUAGUUCAGGAUCACAAGGCUCCGAGAGGUUAAUUUAUCCACUCCAGGUCACCCAGAUCAUGGAUGGGAGAAGAGGAGGGACCGAAGCUCUCCUGGCACCGUGCCCAGUUCUUUCCAGCCCUUUCUGUCACGUAUGCAGUGCUCUGCAUGAGCCAACGUGGAUCGCACAGCAUGUGAAGCAGCCUUCCCGGAGAACUCGGAAACCGGUCCAGCUUGGAGGAAUCUCAUUAGCACUUUUCAAAGCUUUACCCCGACUGCAUUUUAAGUUGUAUAAUUUUUCUGGAUCUGGAUCUCGAAUGAAUGCUGGUUAUUGGCAAGCACUGCAUCUCAUUCGGGGAAAGCGUUCCUCAUCACAUGAUUCAAACUGUAUCCAAAGACUAGAGAAGAGGAAACACAAAAACGCUUCAAAUGAAAGGCAUUUAGAGAGUCUCCUGCUACUUGACUUAUAAAAAUAAUGGCAAUGAUUCAUAAAGGUCGCUGUCUAAUUCCUUCAAGACCCAAGAAUUCAUGCAUCUGGACCUCCUGGUUGUUCUCUGUUCAGUUUCUCCACGAAGCCCCUUGCCUCUGUUUUGCCACAGCUAAAAUAAAUUACCAGGCUUCUCUUGUCCAUAUACAUGACAAUUUGAGGCUUUAAAACAAUGUACAUUAAAAAAAAAAAAAAGGAUUUCGGCAGCUUGGAAAUUUGCAAUGUUAGUAAUGCUUGGUACUUUUUAUCUUGAUAUAUAUAUUUUAAUCACAUCUACACUGUUGGCUGGGGUCAAGUCAUUCUGCAUUUUUUGCUGGGUUAUUUGCUUUUCUCAGCCUUCCUAGAUUUAGAAAGCUUAAUUUUAUUCCUUUCUCCAUUUUGUUAGGCUCAUAGUCACUCUUAAAAGAAUCAAAAUCUCACCCAGAAACAACUUGCUGGCCAUUUCCUAGAAUUUAUGGUUGUAGGGAGUACACUGAUUUAAUAAAAUAGAAGUUUUUUUUUUUGCUUUUUUAUAAGGGCCACACCCGCAGCAUAUGGAAGUUUCCAGGCUAGGGGUUGAAUCAGAGCUGCGGCUGCCAGCUUAGGCCAUAGUCACAGCAAUGUGGGAUCCAAGCCGUGUCUUCGACCUGCACCACAGCUCACGGCAACGCUGGAUCCUUAACCCACUGAGCUAGGCCAGGGAUGGAACCUGAGUCCUCAGGGAUACUAACUGGAUUCGUUUCCACUGCGCCAAGAUAGGAACUCCCAGAAGUUUCUUUUUGAAAGUGUUUUUCCCAUUGGCCAUUUCUGUUCUGAUCUUCCAUGUAUGUGUAUUUAUAUAUUUCAUUACUUUUUUGUUCUUAUUUUUUUCUUAAACCAUAGCAUGAGCCCGGGUAGACCUGGGUUUGAAUCCCCAGCUCCUUUUACAUUUUGUGCAUUUUCAAGGUUCUAGAAGGACAGAUGCCUCUAGGAAGAAGUUUCUCACGCCCUUCCCAUGGUUUAGGGUGGCAGGCAUUCCUUCCACAUGUUCUGGAAUAAUCCCUCACAUAUGGCUAUGUUGGGGAGUGGCGAGGGAAAGUCAGGGUCAAGAUAAACAUGAGGAAGGAGUGGGAGGAUUUGGAAAAGAUUAUUUCUCUCAAGAGCACGUAAUCAUGCUAUACAAAGAAACUAAUGAGCAGGAUUUGGAGAUGCCUGAAGUCCAAGACAUAGUUAGAGCUUAAAGUUAAAAGCCUUGAUUUUCUAGACUAAAAUUCCCCAAGUCUUAAAGACUUAAGCAGUUGAAAGACCCUAAACCAUUCAUAGUUCACUUAUCUUCAGCUGUAACUUAGGAAUUAACACCUGUCCCGGAAACACACAAAGCAGUCUUUUCUGGAAGAUGAGCUGCUGAGAAAUUUUCCUGCCACGGUAGACACGAACUACUGUUUUCGUUCAUACAGUGCCUUUGAACACCCUUUAUCUAUCGGGAAAAUUCCACUCUGUAAAACCCAUUCCUCUUAAGAUAGAAACCAGAAAUCUGGAAGUUCCCGGGGUGGCUCAGGGAAGGGGGCACGAGUUUGAUCCCUCAGUGGGUUAAAGAUCUGGCAUUGCCAUGAGCUGUGGUGUAGGUUGCAGAUGUGGCUUGGGUCCGCUCUUGAUUCGACCCCCUAGCCUGGGAACUUCCAUAUGCCAUGGGUACCAUCCUAAAAAGACCCCUGCCCCUC